GGCCGUGUAGCGUAAUGGUUAACGCGCUAGUUUCCGGUGUUGGAAGAGCUAGAGAUUCCGAGUUCGAGUCUCGGCAUGGUCG